rnacentral:rRNA from 1 species
AGUGAACGCUGGCGGUAGGCCUAACACAUGCAAGUCGAACGGCAGCACAGUAAGAGCUUGCUCUUACGGGUGGCGAGUGGCGGACGGGUGAGGAAUACAUCGGAAUCUACUUUUUCGUGGGGGAUAACGUAGGGAAACUUACGCUAAUACCGCAUACGACCUACGGGUGAAAGCAGGGGAUCUUCGGACCUUGCGCGAUUGAAUGAGCCGAUGUCGGAUUAGCUAGUUGGCGGGGUAAAGGCCCACCAAGGCGACGAUCCGUAGCUGGUCUGAGAGGAUGAUCAGCCACACUGGAACUGAGACACGGUCCAGACUCCUACGGGAGGCAGCAGUGGGGAAUAUUGGACAAUGGGCGCAAGCCUGAUGCAGCCAUACCGCGUGGGUGAAGAAGGCCUUCGGGUUGUAAAGCCCUUUUGUUGGGAAAGAAAAGCAGCAGGUUAAUACCCCGCUGUUCUGACGGUACCCAAAGAAUAAGCACCGGCUAACUUCGUG